GCAAAACAGGCAAGUGCGAUAAAUUUGCAGUUGGAACCUCGAUGUGUUCCAAAGCCCGCGCUCCGGUCCCCCGAACUGGGCAUUCCGCUCCACUAUCUCCUCAAAAUCCAUUUCCUCGGCUGGUCGUCAAUCCCCUCCGCUGUUCUAAAGCCUUACUACUCGCCUCGGCCAGUCGCCUCCGCCACCAAAACCCUAACCCUAGCCCCGGAGCUCAGGCGACGCUUGCGCCUCCAAAUGGACGGGGGAGGCACGCAUCGCACGCCGGAGGACGUGUUCAGGGAUUUCCGCGCGCGGCGGGCCGGCAUGAUUAAGGCGCUCACCACCGAUGUGGAGAAGUUCUACCAGCAGUGCGACCCAGAGAAAGAGAAUCUAUGCCUGUAUGGUCUUCCCAAUGAAACAUGGGAAGUGAACUUGCCUGCAGAGGAGGUUCCCCCAGAACUUCCAGAGCCGGCACUGGGAAUUAAUUUUGCUCGGGAUGGGAUGGAUGAGAAAGAUUGGUUGUCACUUGUUGCGGUGCACAGUGAUGCCUGGUUGCUAGCAGUAGCCUUCUACUUUGGAGCAAGAUUCGGGUUUGACAAAGAAUCCAGGAAGCGGCUUUUUAGCAUGAUAAACAACCUCCCCACCAUAUAUGAGGUUGUCACGGGAACUGCGAAGAAGCAGGUCAAAGAAAAACACCCCAAAAGCAGCAGCAAGAUAAGUAAAUCUGGCACUAAGGUAAUGAACCAUUUUCGUUUUUGCAACAAUGCUGACCUAAAACUAAGCUCAUAACUUGUUGUCUUUUGGCGCAAACACACUUCCCCAGCCAUCUCGCCAGCCAGAACCCAACUCAAGGGGUCCAAAGAUGCCACCACCUCCGAAGGAUGAGGACGACAGUGGAGGCGAGGAAGAAGAGGGAGAAGAACAUGAAAAGGCAUUAUGUGGUGCGUGUAAUGAUAACUAUGGACAGGAUGAAUUCUGGAUCUGCUGUGAUGCUUGUGAGACAUGGUUCCACGGUAAGUGUGUGAAGAUCACCCCUGCCAAAGCUGAGCACAUCAAGCACUACAAAUGCCCAAAUUGCAGCAGCAGUAGCAAGAGGGCCAGAGCAUGAUAUCAGAUUCCUCCACGGCUCAUGUCUGAAGAUCCAAGGAUUUGACUUACUGUAAAGACGCAUGUGGGACGGAAUGCCCAAUGGAUGUGCAUUCAGUUGUUGCUUUGAGAUUAGUACCAGCUUUAGGGGUCUUGCUGUGUUGUUAUUUGGUGUAUGUCGGUGAUGUUCUAGAUUUACUUGUAGUCGUAGCAACUAAUUGUAACAGCUUGUAUGUCUUGGAGCCUUGUCAGGGCCCUGUUCUGGACUCUCUGUGUCCUAGGUUCAGUGAUGUAUCACGUCAUCAUGUACCCUUGUUGUAAUUUGUUGAAGAACCGCCUGUUAUCUUAGCUUUUACAGCCUAGUUAUAUUUGGACAUGUUAUCUAGCAUCUACCGAUUGUUCCACUGUUUUAGAACUUGGUAAAUAGUCGGGUGUUUGUCAACUUGAGAAAUUAGGGUUGCGGGUGCAAUGUUUAAGACGGUGGUGCUUGC
rnacentral:rRNA from 1 species